CGGAAGCGUUGCCCGAGGCCGGAAGGGGACGGUCACCCUAGGGGGCUUCCCGCUGAGAGGGUCUGCGGUCCCGGCUCCGGUGUUCAGAGGUGCUUCGUAGCCAUGGGAAGCAUGACAGAAAUGUUUCCAAGCACACGCGUGAACUCCUGUGCCUCAAGGACACCGACUGAGUUCCCCGUGCAGGUGGCCGGGGGGUGAGAACCAUACCUUCCAGUGCGCCUCUGAGUGCUGCAUGAACUCCAGACCCUGCUGCACCUCUGCUCUCAUCUCGUGGAUGUGGGCCAUGGUGUGCACUGACCACGCAUCCGUCGGGGUGAUAGAGCCUGCGAGCGGGUGAGACAGCGUGGGUCAGUCAGGCUGCCUGGCCAGGACGCAGCACGUCUCACACAGGCCUGGGCUCCAGCUUGGAACCAUCACAACCCCAGGACAGCCCAUGUACGCAUGCGUAGGGCACACCAGCACAGGACACCGCGAGGCAGAGGCGUGACUGGCCCAGGGUACACAGCUGGGAUGCAGCAGAGUCUCCAAUGCCGGGGCUCAUCCCGGGACCCCACAGCCUCCUGCAUACCGCUGAGGCUCCUGCAUCUGGCCUCAGUUUCUCUCCAGUGCAGGGGCCCGAUGAUGCCUUCCACUCAGGGCUGCAUGGAGAAGUGGACACUGUCCAGUGUGGGUGGUCUUCACCCCAUCUGUAGACAGACUGAGGGCUCCGGAAACCAGGAUUCUGCCUCCAGAUUCAAGUCUCUCCUCUCAGGGGGCCGGCGCUGUGGCACUGGGGGUUAAAGCCCUGGUCUGCAGUGCUGGCAUCCCAUAUGGGUGCCAGUUCAAGUCCCAGCUGUUCUACUUCCAAUCCAGCUCUCUGCUAUAGCCUGGGAAAGCAGUGGAAGAUAACCCAAGUCCUUGGCCACUGCACCUGCAUGGGACACCAGGAAGAAUCUUCUGACUGGAAGAAGCUGUUGCCUGGUCCUGGAGAAUCUGUUCCCAUAAGGCACAGGCCUUCGGGAAGUUCCUGGAAGCCAAGAGGAGCUCUCAGCACCACUGAACACAAAGCCUCCACCCCCAAGCAUAAAACACAUUCCACGUCAUAGACUGCACUGAUUGGCUUAAAAAUAACAGCUUCUAAGCUAGAAAGUGGCU